AUGUUAAAUUUCAAAUUACUGAAACAUUUUCUUACCUUCAGUAAUCAGGUAAACUGGUCAGCCCUUGCACAGGAUGUCUUUUCAAGGAGCAGGAAAAUACUGUCUGAUUUUGGAGACGCUGACAUUUUAAGAAAGAAUACUGAAAUAUUUGAAAAUAACACAAGACAAAAGACAAAUACAAUGACAAUGAAGAGGAAAAGGAAACUGACAUAUCAUAUAUAUGCAAAAGCUUUUGGAUAGUUUGAUGGAGAUCAUAUGGAACCUACAUUGUUGAGCACAAGUCGGCAAGUAUAUUUGGAGCACCCUUGUGGGAAAGACCUACAUUGGCCAGAGAAAAUAUAAUGCAGAUUUCCCAUAAAGUGUUAUAUCAAAUUUGGUAAAGAAAUUAAUAUAAAAAGUCACAUUUAGUAAUAAAAUAAAAUGGAUAGACUGAUCCA
rnacentral:lncRNA from 1 species